rnacentral:rRNA from 1 species
GUACGCGUUAACUACCCUGAGAAACGCUGCCGAUCUCUGUACCUGGAUCUCGGAAGCUAAGCAGGGUUUGGCCUGGUUAGUAUUAGGAAUGGGAGACCCUGGGGAAUACCAGGUGACUGUAAU